GGGUCUGUGAGUGUGUGCACAGGGGUUCUGUGUGGGUGACUAUGUGCAUGUGUGCACAGUGGGUUGGCGUGGAUGAUUGUGCAUGUGCACAUAGGGGGUCUGUGCGUGUGUGUGCACAGGGAUUUGUGUGGGUGACUGUGUGUGUGUGCACAGAUCUGUGUGGCUGAUGUGUGUGUGCAUGUGCACAGUGGAUCUAUUUGGUUGGCUGUGUGUGUAUGCGCGCAGGGGAUCUGUAUAGUUGACUCCAUGUGCGCACAUGGGGGUCUGAGUUUAUGUACAGGUGCAUGUUUGUGUACCUGGAACUGUGAGGGUAUGUGGGGUAUGGUGGAGGUGUGUGGGUUGCUUUGGAGGGGGUAUCUGUUCUGUGGUGGGUUUUGUGGGGUGAUGUGAGGAGACGAGCUGGGGUGAGUGAUGCAAAGGGAUCUGUGGAGUAUGUGUUGGGCUGUCUGCCAGGGUGUUGGGUGUACUUUGAGAUGUUUUGGGGUAUGUUUGGGGGUACCUGUGAAGGUGUCUGUGUGGGUGUCAGUGGGGAUCUUGUGGGUGUCUAUGUGGUGGUGCGUGUGGUUUGUGAGUUGUGUUGGUAGGGAGAUUGUGGGGUAUCUGUAGGGUGUCUCUGGAGUGAGUAUAGAGUUCCUAUAAAGUGAGUGUACAGGUAUUCAUGGGAUGCCUGUAGGGCAUCUGUGAGGGUCUAUGCAUUUGGGUUUGGGGAUUUUUGUGGGGUGUUUCUGGCUAUCUGUGGGUCUGCCCUGUGGACAAGUGCCUGUGAAGGUGGUCUGUGUACCUGGGGAGUGACUUCUGUGGCUUUUCUGUGUGCUCUGCCUGUGGGUAGCUGUGUCUGUGAACUUAGCUCCAUGAAAGCAAGAAGCCUAUGAUAAUUCCACCAGGGGCAAACCUGGCCUUGGCGCUUUACUGUCCUAGCGUGUGUCUGGCCCUCCCAUUCCUGGCCAAGGCCCACAGCCACCGCAGACGACCUGCUGAUGCCUCUGCUGAAAUUAGUGGCCACUGGCCAACAGCUUGGCAAGAGUGUCAGCUCCCUCCCGAGAUGAAAUCAGAGGAAAACCGCCUCUAGUUUCCAAGAAGCACACAGGGAGCCACUUCUUUACCGCUUGCUCCUGCAGGGUUUUGCUCCCCCAGCUCCACCCUGCAGGUGCUGGUUUGCCUCCUGAGUCCUGUCCUCAGGACAUCCUGCGCAUCUCCUCCUGAUGGGCUUUCACAUUCAAGAGACACUGGAGCUGCCAUAACCUUGAGUGGACGUGAGCUUGGCCAGAUUGCACUGUCCAAAUGCCAGGACCCAGGGCCCCGGGGAGGUCCCUGAUGCAUGCGGCUGUGCUCUUGGAGGAUCUUGGUCACUCCGGCACAUUUCUUGCAGCAAUCUGCACUUGGAACAGCAUUUGAUAUGGAGGGAAACACUAGUAUAAUAUCAAGGUGAGGAGACUGAGGCAGAAAGAGGUUGAAUGAUGUGCCCAAGGGAACAGAAGUCAUGAGUAGCAGAGCUGGGCUUGCUAAACAUCGUGUGGUCUUUGAGCUCAGGUCCAUCAGUGCUGGAACAAGCUAUGGUGUUAGUUGAAUUCACAGUAGGUCAUGUCAUUUUCCCACCAAACUAUCUCAGUCUAGGUACAAAUAAAAUCUCAGCCUGCUGGGUUUUUAUUUUUUUUAACCUCAGUAUGACAUAUACCAAAAAUUCUGUGUCAAGUGUCUUAUGUAAGAUUUUUCCAGUGCAUAACUAUUAAUGGGAAUUGCAUCAGCAUCAUUGGGUUCUGUCACUUUUUCAUGCCAUUAUAGCACCAUUUAGAAGUUCAUUUAAUUUCAAAAAGUCACCAUAUACUGUUCCCUUCCCUCCAUGUCUCUCUUCCUUAGCUAACGUGUCAUUUUCUCACUUCACACUCCCUCAUUAGAGCCCGGCAAUCUGGCUUCUCUCCCUGAUCCUCCACUGACAUUUUUCUCACCACUGGUUCCAUUUCUAAUAAAUAAAUCACAUGGGUUUUCUCAGUCUCUCUUCUUCCUCAAGUUCCCUGAAUGUUCAGCUGCUAAUCACCUCUUCCCUCCAGACAUCCCUUCUCCCUUGGCUUCUGUUGGCUCCUUUCCUCUCUGUUACCCCAACACUUCCUCCCUCCAGUGCUCUUCGAGUCUUACUGCUGAGCUGUCUUCCCUAAGCCAAUGAUAUUCAUGACUACAUCUCUCCCUGAAUCCCAAACCGGGAUUUGUGGCUUCCAACAGGAUGCUUGCACUUGCCGGAACUUGGCUGUUCUAAAGCCACCUCACUCUCAACAUACUCAGCAUCAAACCUUGGGCCUUAGCUUGGCCAGCCGGGAAGCUGAGCAACUCCAUUUGCUUGCAGCGCCUUCCAUUCUCUUGGUAUGCUGGGAUUGGGAUCCUACGCUUGGAGCUCGAUAAGAAUGAUUGGAAUGUAUCUAGCCUAGUGUCUGGCGUGGAAAAGGUGCUCUGUAAAACCAUUUUCUCUUUCCUUUUCCUUCUGUCUCCUACCCAGUGUUUAUGGAGUCACCAGGUCUGUUGAACAUGGAAGGAAAUGCCAGCUUUAUUCAGUUCCAUCCACCCCACGGCCACUCCACUGACCCCUCAUCCGUCAGCCUGGAAUAGUAUGAAGCUUUUGAACCCAUCUCCCAGCCCGCAUUUCUCCAGGGAACCACCCUGUUCACUGAUACCAUGGCUAUCACUCUGCAGCUUUCCUGCUAACCAAAUCACAAUGGAGCCCUGUUAUCAGUUAGAUUAGAUCAGGGCCCUUCAGCUUGACUUUCAAAGCCUUCCAUCCAUGGGGCCUGUCAUUCGUUCAACAUUUCCACCCCCACACACGAAAA